rnacentral:rRNA from 1 species
GUGCCAGCAGCCGCGGUAAUACGGAGGGUGCGAGCGUUAAUCGGAAUUACUGGGCGUAAAGGGCGCGUAGGCGGUCGCGCAAGUCGGGUGUGAAAGCCCCGGGCUCAACCUGGGAAUUGCAUUCGAUACUGCGUAACUAGAGUCUGGUAGAGGGAAGCGGAAUUCCGCAUGUAGCGGUGAAAUGCGUAGAUAUGCGGAGGAACACCAGUGGCGAAGGCGGCUUCCUGGACCAAGACUGACGCUGAGGCGCGAAAGCGUGGGGAGCAAACAGGAUUAGAUACCCUGGUAGUCCACGCCCUAAACGAUGAGGACUAGACGUUGGGGGGAUAAAACCCUUUAGUGUCGCAGCUAACGCGUGAAGUCCUCCGCCUGGGGAGUACGGCCGCAAGGUUGAAACUUAAAUGAAUUGACGG